GGGUCCUCCAGGGCGGGCUGGUAUUCCUGGUUCGGAUGGAGUUCCUGGUCCUCCAGGUACCAUCCUGAUGCUGCCAUUCCGUGCUGGUGGAGAGGCACAUAAAGGACCAGUGAUCUCAGCUCAGGAGGCCCAAGCCCAGGCUAUCCUUUCCCAAGCCAGGCUCACCAUGAGGGGUACCCCUGGGCCCAAUGGAAUGUCAGAA